AGGAGGUUUGAUCCUGGCUCAGGACGAACGCUGGCGGCGUGCUUAACACAUGCAAGUCGAACGAGGGCCCGGAGCUUGCUCCGGUGACCCGAGUGGCGGACGGGUGAGUAACACGUGACCAACCUACCUUCGGGAGGGGGACAACCUGGGGAAACCCGGGCUAAUACCGCAUAUCGUCCACGGGCCGCAUGACCUGUGGAUAAAAGGGAGCCUCUGCUUGCAUGCUCUCACCCGAAGAGGGGGUCGCGGCGUAUCAGCUAGUUGGUGGGGUAAUGGCCUACCAAGGCAACGACGCGUAGCGGGUCUGAGAGGACGACCCGUCACAUUGGGACUGAGAUACGGCCCAGACUCCUACGGGAGGCAGCAGUGGGGAAUAUUGCGCAAUGGCCGAAAGGUUGACGCAGCGACGCCGCGUGUGGGAGGACGCCCUUCGGGGUGUAAACCACUGUCAGGGGGGAAGAACUUCGCAGGCGUGAAUAGCGCUUGCGGUUGACGGUACCCCCAGAGGAAGCGCCGGCUAACUCCGUGCCAGCAGCCGCGGUAAGACGGAGGGCGCAAGCGUUGUUCGGAAUUACUGGGCGUAAAGGGCAGGUAGGUGGUCUGUUAAGUCUUCUGUGAAAAUCCGGGGCUCAACCCCGCGAAAUGCAGGUGAAACUGGCAGACUUGAGACCGGUAGAGGCUAGCGGAAUNCUGGUGUAGCGGUGGAAUGCGUAGAUAUCAGGAGAACACCUGUGGCGAAGGCGGCUAGCUGGCCGGUUCUGACCUGAACUGCGAAAGCUG
rnacentral:rRNA from 1 species